UAUUAAAUUGUUCCAACAACCAAUGUCUAUCGAAUUCAGAUGAAAUAUGUUCGAAAUUUUGAUCAGUUAAGAAACUUAAUGCAUAUAUUUAACAGGGUCUGGUGAAAACAUAAGUUUAAAAAGUAGUGGAAUCGACUGUAAUAAUAUGGUAGAUCAAUGUUACUAUAGACCUAGUAAUAUGGCUGGAUAUUUGAAAAGUGUUCAAAGUUUUAGCUCAUAAUAGUAGAUUUAAAGGUUGUCAAUUUUUAUUUGAAAAUGUUUUAAUAAGCUAGUAAAAUUGUAUCUCGUAACUCAAGUUUCAACUAUUAGAGUAGAACUGCAGUUAUAGAAAACUAAACUUUCAAGAAUUGAAAAUAUUCCUAAAACUGAACUCGAUGCAAUAAAAUAAUGCAUUUAUGAAAUAUUUCCUAAUUUGUAUAGUUUAUUACAAGUAUUAUGUACACUACCAGUAUAUUAAAAUCAUAUCUAAGAAAUGAUUUAAUUAUUUGGUUUUGACUCUAAUGGCCAUUCAACGUAAUAUAAUUGUCAUGAUAGAAGAAAUUAUGGAGUUGGUAAAAAUAAGAUGAUACAAUUAAUAUAAGA